GCUUGGUGGUGCACGCCUGUAAUCCCAGCAGCUUGGGAGGCUGAGGCAGGUGGAUCACAAGUUCAAAGCCAGCCUCAGCAAAAGCGAGGCACUAAGCAAUUCAGUGAGACCCUGUCUCUA
rnacentral:sRNA from 1 species